rnacentral:rRNA from 1 species
AACGAACGCUGGCGGCAUGCCUAACACAUGCAAGUCGAACGAAAGCUUCGGCCUUAGUGGCGCACGGGUGCGUAACGCGUGGGAAUCUGCCCUUUGGUUCGGAAUAACAGCUGGAAACGGCUGCUAAUACCGGAUGAUGACGAAAGUCCAAAGAUUUAUCGCCAGAGGAUGAGCCCGCGUUGGAUUAGGUAGUUGGUGGGGUAAAGGCCUACCAAGCCGACGAUCCAUAGCCGGUCUGAGAGGAUGAUCAGCCACACUGGGACUGAGACACGGCCCAGACUCCUACGGGAGGCAGCAGUGGGGAAUAUUGGACAAUGGGCGCAAGCCUGAUCCAGCAAUGCCGCGUGAGUGAUGAAGGCCCUAGGGUUGUAAAGCUCUUUUACCCGGGAAGAUAAUGACUGUACCGGGAGAAUAAGCCCCGGCUAACUCCGUG